rnacentral:rRNA from 1 species
ACUCCUACGGGAGGCAGCAGUAGGGAAUCUUCCACAAUGGACGAAAGUCUGAUGGAGCAACGCCGCGUGAGUGAAGAAGGGUUUCGGCUCGUAAAACUCUGUUGUUAAAGAAGAACAUAUCUGAGAGUAACUGUUCAGGUAUUGGCGGUAUUUAACCAGAAAGCCACGGCUAACUACGUGCCAGCAGCCGCGGUAAUACA